rnacentral:sRNA from 3 species
AUGGAGUCCCCCUGCGCUUUGGCUCCUCUGCGCUGUCCGCACCCGCCUGACGAUUGCUUGCUACGGUCUGUUAGUC